rnacentral:rRNA from 1 species
GACGAACGCUGGCGGCGUGCCUAACACAUGCAAGUCGAGCGAGAGACUUCGGUCUCUAGCGGCGGACGGGUGAGUAACACGUGGGUAACCUACCUCAAACAGGGGGAUAGCCUCCCGAAAGGGAGAUUAAUACCGCAUAACAUCACGCUAUCGCAUGGUAGUGUGAUCAAAGGAGUAAUCCAGUUUGAGAUGGGCCCGCGGCGCAUUAGCUAGUUGGUGGGGUAAAGGCCUACCAAGGCGACGAUGCGUAGCCGACCUGAGAGGGUGAUCGGCCACAUUGGAACUGAGACACGGUCCAGACUCCUACGGGAGGCAGCAGUGGGGAAUAUUGCACAAUGGGCGCAAGCCUGAUGCAGCAACGCCGCGUGCGGGAUGACGGCCUUCGGGUUGUAAACCGCUUUUAGUAGGGAAGAAGCCUUCGGGUGACGGUACCUGCAGAAAAAGGACCGGCUAACUACGUGCCAGCAGCCGCGGUAACAC